GGUGAUCGAUGAAUGCGCGGCGAUUGAUCCGAAACUUGAUUGAUCGCUUCUUCGUUUACUACUAGACAGUGAAUGAUGUGUUGGUGGGAGUUACAUCGGCAGGCCUUUCUCGUUAUCUCAGUAGGAAAUUUGGAGGGAAAAAUAGAGGGGAAGGAAAAGGAAGAAGCGAAAGAGAAAGAAAAAUGGUGUAAAUUGGAGGAAGAAGAAGGAAAAGAGAAAUGAUGUAAAUUUCACCUAAAAAGUGUAAUUUUGUGCUAAAGAGUGUAAAUCUAAUCCGAAGGAGUAUAAUUUUCAUCUCAAAAAAAUGAUAUAAAUUGGAGAAAGAAGAAGGAAAAGAGAAAUGAUGUAAAUUUCACCUAAAAAGUGUAAUUUUGUGCUAAAGAGUGUAAAUCUAAUCCGAAAGAGUAUAAUUUUUAUCUCAAAGAGUGCAACUUUCAUUUAAAACAGUGUAAAAGAAAUUUUAAACAAUGUAAUUUUAUUUUAAUAGUGCAAUUUUAUUUUCAUCUUCCUUCUUCUAUAAUUUUUUUUCUUCAUUUUUUUUCUUCUUCCUUCUUCUAUAAUUUUUUUUUGGUUAUCCCUCUCGGCCAACGGCUACGGCACCGGUGAUCACGUCGCUAAAGACCCCCCCACUCUGAGACUGCGGCGCCGCAGCGACCUCCGCGGCAUCGACAUCGGUGGAGAGGUGUCGUCGUCAGAUGUGGCAGAGGAGAAGGGAGAAAGAGAGGGCAAGAAGGGCGGGGAAGGGUUGAAGAAUUCAAGAUUUCGAAGAUUUUGGAAAAUUG
rnacentral:lncRNA from 1 species